UAAUCCCGAAAAACAGAUCGGAGUCCGGAUCGCAGAAACAACUCGACUGCGUGAAGUCGGAAUCGCUAGUAAUCGCGAAUCAGAAUGUCGCGGUGAAUACGUUCCCGGGCCUUGUACACACCGCCCGUCACACCAUGGGAGUGGGUUGCACCAGAAGUAGCUAGUCUAACCUUCGGGAGGACGGUUACCACGGUGUGAUUCAUGACUGGGUGAAGUCGUACAAGUGGCUAGUCAAG
rnacentral:rRNA from 1 species